rnacentral:snRNA from 11 species
AUAACCACCUAGCAGGGGAUAUACUAUGAUCAGGAAGGUGUUUUUUUCUCAGAGUGAGGCUUAUCCAGUGCACACAGCUGUGCAGACCCCUGGGAUUUCCCCAAAUGUGGGAAACCGGAUAGCAUAAUUUGUGGCAGUAUGGGAAAUGAAACAUUAAAUAUAAAAAUAAAAUAAAACAAAAAUAUGAACUUUCCCUGU